rnacentral:rRNA from 1 species
AGAAUCAACGCUGGCGGUGUGCCUCAGACAUGCAAGUCGAACGCGAAAGUCCCCUUCGGGGGCAAGUAGAGUGGCGCACGGGUGAGUAACACGUAGGUAAUCUACCUUUGGAUGGGGAAUAACAACCGGAAACGGUUGCUAAUACCGCAUAAUGCAGCGGCACCUAAUGGUGACAGUUGUUAAAGCGGGGGAUCGAAAGACCUCGCGUCUGAAGAGGAGCCUGCGGCGGAUUAGCUAGUUGGUAGGGUAACGGCCUACCAAGGCUACGAUCCGUA